UUAAUUUAAGUUAUUGUGGGUUUACACUUUGAAAAUUGAACCCUCACAAAGUGAUGGAACAUACAUUGAUUUUAUUCAA
rnacentral:pre_miRNA from 1 species